CCUACGGGUGGCAGCAGUGGGGAAUAUUGCACAAUGGGGGGAACCCUGAUGCAGCGACGCCGCGUGAGUGAAGAAGUAUUUCGGUAUGUAAAGCUCUAUCAGCAGGGAAGAAAAUGACGGUACCUGACUAAGAAGCCCCGGCUAACGACGUGCCAGCAGCCGCGGUAAUACGUAGGGGGCAAGCGUUAUCCGGAUUUACUGGGUGUAAAGGGGGCGCAGACGGCUGUGCAAGUCUGGAGUGAAAGGCGGGGGCCCAACCCCCGGACUGCUCUGGAAACUGUAAAGCUGGAGUGCAGGAGAGGUAAGCGGAAUUCCUAGUGUAGCGGUGAAAUGCGUAGAUAUUAGGAGGAACACCAGUGGCGAAGGCGGCUUACUGGACUGCAACUGACGUUGAGGCUCGAAAGCGUGGGGAGCAAACAGGAUUAGAUACCCUUGUAGUC
rnacentral:rRNA from 1 species